UACGAAGGGGGCUAGCGUUGCUCGGAAUCACUGGGCGUAAAGGGGUGCGUAGGCGGGUCUUUAAGUCAGGGGUGAAAUCCUGGAGCUCAACUCCAGAACUGCCUUUGAUACUGAAGAUCUUGAGUUCGGGAGAGGUGAGUGGAACUGCGAGUGUAGAGGUGAAAUUCGUAGAUAUUCGCAAGAACACCAGUGGCGAAGGCGGCUCACUGGCCCGAUACUGACGCUGAGGCACGAAAGCGUGGGGAGCAAACAGG
rnacentral:rRNA from 1 species